CCCCAUCUCCAGGAGACGUGCCUGGUGGGGCAGGAGAGUCCACAGCACCCCGCUCCUGGUCCCCUAAAGAACCGCAGCAUCCAAAACCCCGCCGCAGCCCUGGGACUGGAGGAGCUCUCACUCCCUGGUACAGCUGUGACACAGGGACAGAACUUCUCCAGUCCAGGUGCUGUGUGGGAGAGCGGGGUGGAUGGGAAAUGAGCCAAGGAGUUGUGGGGCAGGGAAAAUGGUGGGGAGCCUAGGUGGAACAUGGCUGAGAUCCUGGGGAAGAGGACGAAAGGGAUAGGGCCAUAGGUGGUGCAGCCGGUGGACAGGGUGGGUAGGGGCCCAGCAAUUGCUCUGGCCCAGGGCCCCGAUAAACCUUAAUCAUCCUCUGUGCUCCAUCUUCUAUGAUCAACAGAGGGGAGAUUAUUCCAUUCAGCAAAAGGAAGAAAGAUUGUCAUUGUGCAUACCAUGAAAGAAGCCCUGCAACUCUUUGAAAGGUAUCAUGACAGUCCAGAGGGUUGACAUCUAGGAAUAUUCAAAACAAGGAAUGCGCUGACAUCCAAAUACUAUUGGCCAGGGAUGACAAAAGACAUUGCCAAUUGGGUUGCACAAUGUCUGACUUGCCAGAAAGAGGGAAAGCAAUCAAAUCUGGAUACCACCUUGAAAAGUAUAAAGGUCACUCGGAUCUGGGAAUUGGUGGGAAUGGAUUUAAUAGGACCAUUACCAAUAACAAAGGAUGGAUACCAGUAUAUACUGACAGUCAUAGAUUAUCUUUCAAGAUGAGUGGAAGCCUUUCCACUUAGA